GAUAAAAAUUUCAUAUUAUUUAAAGAAAUUAUUGGUAUGAAACAUCUUUAUUAUUAUACAUUUAUUCCGACAAUCAUAUUUCUUAACAUCGGAUUUUCUUACACAUUUUCUUUUUUUCCAAACCAUUUUUCUUAAUCAAUUUUUUAUUUAAUCAUUUCUUAAAUUUUUUCUUAAUCAAUUACUUUACACGUAAUCUAUCAUAAUUUUUCUUUUUAUCCGUUCUCAUAGAAAGAAAAAAGCGAUAAAGGAAAAGAAAAAAACAUGUAAAUUAGUGACCAUUGUGAAAUAAAUUCAAACAUAUUAAAAUGUGAAGGAUUCGAAAGAAGUGAAACUUCGUAAAGCUUAUCUUAGACAUAUCUUUCCACCAUAAUGCAGCGAUCUUGGUUGACGUGAAGCAUGGGAAUCUUCCGAUAAGGCUAAUUUCCCCAAGGAAAUUCCCGGAGAUUGGGAAAAUCAGUGGCGCAAUCGAUUCGACGCGCCUUGCCUGCAGAGAAAUUAUUCAUUCUCGAUAAAGAGCGUAUUCGUUUGAUAGCGACUGGCACCUGUAGAAUUAUUCGAAUUAAAUAGGUGCUUCCCUUACACUUUCUCUUGUCUGUAAAUCAGCUGCGAUUUUUCGUAAUAUUUGAUUAAAUGGAUGAUAUUUAAACAGUUCAGUCAUAAUUGAAAAUCAUAGUUUUCAAAGCUUUCAUAGUUUCUGACAAAUGUUAGAACUUUUUCCAAUAAAGAUAAAAAUUCAUGAUGAAAUGAAAAUCAAGGAUGAAAUUUUUAUCGAAUCGCUAAUAUUACAAGGUUUAAAUAUUAAAAGGAAUUUUAAUUAUUAAUUAAAAUUUUUUAAUUAAAAUUUAUUAACUCGAUUAAAUUAACUCUUUGACAGUAUAAUAAAAUUACAACAAUUCAAAAGUGGCAAUUUAGAAAAUAAUUAACUUUUUUUAUCAAAAUUUUUUAAAGCUUUAACAUCAAAUAAAAAAAUUAUACAGAAUGCAUUUCAUUUAGAUAUAAAUAUCUUUAUUAUUAAUGGAAAAUUUUUUGAAGUUUACAUUAACAUUAUCUGAUUUUUUAAAUAGAGCUACAUACUUUUAUAUGAUAACUAAAAUCAAAAUAUUCCAAUUAUUUACACAAGUAUUAUUUAAAUAUUAAUGUUUUAUACCGGUGACAUGAAAUAAAAACUGUUUUUAUAUUGAAUAUUUUAUAUUGAGUAUUUAAUAAAGAUACAUAUGGAUAAUAUUGCAAAAUGUCCACAUCCACACUAUUAUUUACACAUAAAAAUCGUUUUCUUUUUGCAUAUUUCUUCCCGACAAAAACUAUCAAUUAUUGUCCACAGGACGCAUAUCGAUUUUCCGCUGGUUAUGAUCCAUCAAUCAGCAUAUGACUGAUUUAUAAUCGUACAAAUUUCUAUUCUCUUAACUUAAAGGAAUCAAUUAUUUAUGCAAAAAAAAUAAAAAAAUGUCUAAAAAUGAAGUUUCUUAAUAUAAAAAAUUAUCAAAAAAAAAAAAAACAUUUUAAACUUACUCAUAUUUUCAAAAAAUUCUGCAAACAAUAUUAAAGGUGAUCAAAAUUAUUUACAAUGAUUAUAUUCUUUCAAUUUAUUCAAAUGAAAUAUAAAUUCUAUUUAAACAUCUGUAAACCAAACAAUUUUUAUCUUUUUUAAAGACUACAGCAAAUCUAUGUAAUAACAUUAUUUUGGAGAAAACGGUGAAACACGCGAGACGUCUCAAAAAUAGAAUGGAAGUGAAGAAUCGCAAGAGUCUAAAAACUCGUUUGGGAUCCUUGGGUGUCCUCAACGGUUCUUAGUUGUUCUCAAACGGUGCUCUCCGCGUUUCUUCACUGGCUCAAGGCCGUGCAACAAACGGCCGCAUUCACCAGGCUGCAUUCAGCUCCAUACGUGUCGUCUUUUAUGACCAGGCCUUGAAGAAGAUCUGAUAGAGACUGGUUGCCUUCGGCUCGUUGUUACUACUUGUUCGUCUCACUAACGGGAGAUUUAUCGUCUGCUCUCGAUCCAUGUUCAGACGGGUUACAUACAAACAUGAGAGUAAAGAAGAAUUGGAGGAUCACGAGCAUGUACAACCGAUAUUCGUCUUUCCGUAGGACGUAAGAUUCCAAUAAAAAUGCAAAUUCCAUGACGUUCUACGGACCAACUGGCACGACAACGCAACUGAACCGUCUUGUUUACUCGUCAAGAGAGAAAGUUAAAAAGAGGUAUGUACAUAUCCUUCACUAAAGAGAGAGAGCAAUUUCGACGCGAAUCAAGCCCGGAGAAAAAAACGUCGAGACGGUAACGCUAUCCAGGAGUGCUUUGAUGAAAGUUUUACCAGAGCCGAGGCAGCUCUCUCCCUCGGCUCAUCCGACUCGUAUCUCAGUCCAUUUAAUCUUUCACGCCCGUCCUCUU